GGGGGCGCUUUGGCUUCGACGGGGGUAAGGCGAGUCUGAUAAGCGAGCCGAGGUAAGCAUGUAUCCUCGUUAAUAAAGUAUGCAUUAAAUAUAAACGCAGAAGAUAAUUUUGCAUUAGCAGCUUAAUUUAAGCUACUCAUCUGUCCAGGUUGCCUACGGCUUGGGUUGCAGGUGUCAAACAGUGGGAAACGAAGCUGAGCAAAGCUUUGAGCUCAGGGGGUAUUUAUGAAGCUAGCAAAUAAGUUGCCCGUUUGUAGGCAUACUUAGGCGUGAACUUUUGUAUGCAAACUACGCCCGUAGAAAUUCAGAUUCAACUGCUUUCGGACAGGGGUUCGAUACCCCUCGCCUCCACCA
rnacentral:tmRNA from 1 species